GAAGUUGGAUUCGCUAGUAAUCGCGCAUCAGCCAUGGCGCGGUGAAUACGUUCCCGGGCCUUGUACACACCGCCCGUCAAGCCAUGGGAGCCGGGGGUGCCUGAAGUUCGUGACCGCAAGGAGCGACCUAGGGCAAAACUGGUGACUGGGGCUAAGUCGUAACAAGGUAAC
rnacentral:rRNA from 1 species